rnacentral:rRNA from 1 species
GACGAACGCUGGCGGCGUGCUUAACACAUGCAAGUCGAACGAUGAAGCCUAGCUUGCUAGGUGGAUUAGUGGCGAACGGGUGAGUAAUACGUGAGUAACCUACCUUUAACUCUGGGAUAAGCCUGGGAAACUGGGUCUAAUACCGGAUACGACCAAUCUCCGCAUGGGGUGUUGGUGGAAAGCGCUAUGUAGUGGUUAUAGAUGGGCUCACGGCCUAUCAGCUUGUUGGUGAGGUAACGGCUCACCAAGGCGACGACGGGUAGCCGGCCUGAGAGGGUGACCGGCCACACUGGGACUGAGACACGGCCCAGACUCCUACGGGAGGCAGCAGUGGGGAAUAUUGCACAAUGGGCGCAAGCCUGAUGCAGCGACGCCGCGUGAGGGAUGACGGCCUUCGGGUUGUAAACCUCCGUUAGCAGGGAAGAAGAGAGAUUGACGGACCUGCAGAGAAAGCGCC